CUUGGUCAUUUAGAGGAAGUAAAAGUCGUAACAAGGUUUUCGUAGGUGAACCUGCGGAAGGAUCAUUAAUGAAUUCGGGCGCUCGACUCUGAAAUAUUGAGAUCGGCCCCAUUUCUUAAUCCACUUCACACUUGUGCACAUUUUUCCCACUUUCCUUCGGGAGAGUUUGAAAAGCUCUUGUGAUUUUAAUCAAGUCCAGGAUGUGAAUCCAAUUUGAAUAAGUUGUAAAACAACUACAAACGGUGGAUCUCUUGGCUCUCGUAUCGAUGAAGAACGCAGCGAAACGCGAAAUGUAAUGUGAAUUGCAGAAUUCAGUGAAUCAUCGAAUCUUUGAACGCAUCUUGCACUCUCGAAUCACUAUCGAGAGUAUGCCUGUUUGAGUGUCGCGAAACUCUCAACCCCGCCUCAUGCUUUAUUGCGUGUGGGUAGCUUGGGCUUGGAUCAUGAUCUUUGCAGUAAUGCGCUAGCAGAACUGCUGGAUUGAAAUACAACAAGCUGAAUCUAUAUACUUGCGGCUUGACCUGUCGUUGUAAGCACACAAAUGCAUUCGAUGGGGACGCGAGAAAAUGGAAUGAGCUUUCCAAAUGUGUUACACUUUGCAGCUUCUAUUAACUUAGAGCUCUUAGUGCAUUCUGACCUCAAAUCAGUAGGAUUACCCGCUGAACUUAAGCAUAUCAAUAAGCGGAGGA
rnacentral:rRNA from 1 species